rnacentral:rRNA from 1 species
AUUGAACGCUGGCGGCAGGCCUAACACAUGCAAGUCGAGCGGAUGAAGGGAGCUUGCUCCUGGAUUCAGCGGCGGACGGGUGAGUAAUGCCUAGGAAUCUGCCUGGUAGUGGGGGAUAACGUCCGGAAACGGGCACUAAUACCGCAUACGUCCUGAGGGAGAAAGUGGGGGAUCUUCGGACCUCACGCUAUCAGAUGAGCCUAGGUCGGAUUAGCUAGUUGGUGGGGUAAAGGCCUACCAAGGCGACGAUCCGUAACUGGUCUGAGAGGAUGAUCAGUCACACUGGAACUGAGACACGGUCCAGACUCCUACGGGAGGCAGCAGUGGGGAAUAUUGGACAAUGGGCGAAAGCCUGAUCCAGCCAUGCCGCGUGUGUGAAGAAGGUCUUCGGAUUGUAAAGCACUUUAAGUUGGGAAGAAGGGCAGUAAGUUAAUACCUUGCUGUUUUGACGUUACCAACAGAAUAAGCACCGGCUAACUUCGUG